rnacentral:rRNA from 1 species
GACGAACGCUGGUGGCGUGCUUAACACAUGCAAGUCGAACGGUGAAGGGACCAGCUUGCUGGUUCUGGAUGAGUGGCGAACGGGUGAGUAACACGUGAGUAACCUGCCCCCUUCUACUGGAUAACCGCAUGAAAGCGUAGCUAAUACGGGAUAUUCUGGGGCUGUCGCAUGGCGGGCCCGGGACAGAUAUUGCUUCGGUGGGGGAUGGGCUCGCGGCCUUUCAGCGUGUUGGUGGGGUGAUGGCCGACCACGGCGGUGACGGGUAGCCGGCCGGUGAGGAGGCACGCUCACACUGGGACUCGGACACGGCCCCGACUCCUGCGGGCGGCAGCGGUGGGUGAUCUUGGACAAUGGGCGCAAGCCUGAUGCGGCGACGCCGCGUGGGGGAUCGUGGCCUUCGGGUUGUAAUCCUCUUUCGCCAGUGAAGCAGGCCUGCUCCUUGUGGGUGGGUUGACUUUAGCUGGAUAAGAAGCGCCGGCUACCUACGU